UACGAAGGGGGCUAGCGUUGUUCGGAAUUACUGGGCGUAAAGGGCGCGUAGGCGGUUCGUUUAGUCAGGCGUGAAAGCCCCGGGCUCAACCCGGGAAUGGCGCUUGAUACUGGCGGACUCGAGUUCGGGAGAGGAUGGUGGAAUUCCCAGUGUAGAGGUGAAAUUCGUAGAUAUUGGGAAGAACACCGAUGGCGAAGGCAGCCAUCUGGACCGACACUGACGCUGAGGCGCGAAAGCGUGGGGAGCAAACAGG
rnacentral:rRNA from 1 species